GUCUAGUCAGCCUAGUGAUUAAGGCUAUGGAUCUCCAAUCCGGAGACGGCGGGUUCGAUUCCCGUUCCGGUCG
rnacentral:tRNA from 1 species